rnacentral:rRNA from 1 species
UACGUAGGUGACAAGCGUUGUCCGGAUUUACUGGGCGUAAAGAGCGCGCAGGCGGUCGUUCAAGUCGAGUGUGAAAGCCCCCGGCUCAACUGGGGAGGGUCAUUCGAUACUGAUCGACUCGAAGGCAGGAGAGGGAAGUGGAAUUCCCGGUGUAGUGGUGAAAUGCGUAGAGAUCGGCAGGAACACCCAGGGGGAAACCAGUCGACUGGGCAUCUACUGACGCUGAGGUGCGAGAGCGUGGGGAGCGAACCGG